rnacentral:misc_RNA from 1 species
UUAUACAAAUCUAUCUUCUUUGUCCCCUUUUUCUAAUCAUUAAUCUUUCUUUAUUUAAUUAGGGGACAAAGAAGAUAGAUUUGUAUAAUUGUUACCAGAUCUCAUUUUAAAAAAUCUACUUGAAUAUUAAACAUUUUAUUUUAUUAAACUAAAUAAGUGUAGAACAAAAGACAAAAGGGAAGUUCAUAAAACGCCCUCUGUUGUGCACAUGUUCCAACACGAUUGUUCAAGUUGCUUCCAGUUGAUGGUUCUGAAAGAAUCUUCUUCAUUCAAGUUUCCUUCUGACCAGUCCUUUGAAGAAGUCAAAACUAUUGCCAUCAGGAUGAAGCUCGCAAAUUUGAUUGUCGUCGCCAAUAGCGAAUAAAUACCCUGAGGAUGUCAAGCCCUGGAUAGUGACCACAUUCUCCACUACUUGAUCCCCAUUAUUUUCUUGUAUGAUGACUCUCUGC